UGUUUUAGUCACCGUUGCCGGAGUUCUGGUCGCCGCUGCCGUUCGAGGUGGCUCCCGGAGCUGUUGCCAAACCGGUUCAGCGACCGCCGCUGUUUCAUUUUCUUAGUUCGGGUCGUGUUUUGAGCGUUGCACGUCGCUUUUAAGUUGCUGUGAGUGCUGCGAAAGUGAUCAGGGGCUGAGUUUGCGGUUGCUAUCGGUUUCGGGUUAAGAGAAACGGUUUCGUUGACGCGUUUUGAGUUAUGGUUUCGACGAGUCGAGCUUUACCUUUUCAGGAACCGGAUGAAGAAGCGUUAAGAAGAGUUAUACU